rfam:Corchorus olitorius cultivar O-4 contig21100, whole genome shotgun sequence.
AUGGCAUGUUGAGGACAAUCGGUGCAAAGUUUCUUGAAUCUCUCCCAAGCUAGGUAAAAAUUCUCAUCUUUGCAUUAUCGAAAACUUGCAAUCCUUUGUCUCCCCUU